rnacentral:rRNA from 1 species
GGAUCCAGACUUUGAUCAUGGCUCAUGACGAACGCUGGCGGCGUGCUUUAUACAUGCAAGUCGAACGAGAAUCUGACUUCGGCCAGAGGAAAGUGGCGGACGGGUGAGUAAAAUGUAGAGAAUCUGCCCUUGAGUGGGGGACAACAGUUGGAAACGAUUGCUAAUACCCCAUAUGAGAUAAGCUGAAAUGUUUAUCUUGAAAACUCCGGUGCUCAAGGAUGAGUCUGCAUCUGAUUAGCUAGUUGGUGGUGUAAUGGACUACCAAGGCGAUGAUCAGUAGCUGGUUUGAGAGGAUGAUCAGCCACAAUGGGACUGAGACACGGCCCAUACUCCUACGGGAGGCAGCAGUAGGGAAUUUUGCGCAAUGGGGGAAACCCUGACGCAGCAACGCCGCGUGAUUGAUGAAGCCCUUCGGGGUGUAAAGAUCUGUCAGUAGGGACGAAUAAUGACUGUACCUACAGAGGAAGCACCGGCUAACUCCGUGCCAGCAGCCGCGGUAAUACGGGGGGUGCGAGCGUUGUCCGGAAUCAUUGGGCGUAAAGAGUUCGUAGGUGGUAUGUUAAGUCUGGUGUUAAAUUCCGAAGCUCAACUUCGGUACGGCACUGGAUACUGGCAAACUUGAAUGCGGUAGAGGUAAAGGGAAUUCCUGGUGUAGCGGUGAAAUGCGUAGAUAUCAGGAGGAACAUCGGUGGCGUAAGCGCUUUACUGGGCCGUAAUUGACACUGAGGAACGAAAGCCGGGGUAGCAAAUGGGAUUAGAUACCCCAGUAGUCCCGGCCGUAAACGAUGGAUACUAGGUGUUGCGGGUAUCGACCCCUGCAGUGCCGUAGCAAACGCGAUAAGUAUCCCGCCUGGGGAGUACGCACGCAAGUGUGCAACUA